CCCUGAGGGGGCCGAUAAUGCAAGUCGAACGCACUCUCGUUAGAUUGAAGAAGCUUGCUUCUGAUUGAUAACAUUUGAGUGAGUGGCGGACGGGUGAGUAACACGUGGGUAACCUGCCCUAAAGUGGGGGAUAACAUUUGGAAACAGAUGCUAAUACCGCAUAAAACCUAGCACCGCAUGGUGCAAGGUUGAAAGAUGGUUUCGGCUAUCACUUUAGGAUGGACCCGCGGUGCAUUAGUUAGUUGGUGAGGUAAAGGCUCACCAAGACCGUGAUGCAUAGCCGACCUGAGAGGGUAAUCGGCCACACUGGGACUGAGACACGGCCCAGACUCCUACGGGAGGCAGCAGUAGGGAAUCUUCCACAAUGGACGAAAGUCUGAUGGAGCAACGCCGCGUGAGUGAAGAAGGUUUUCGGAUCGUAAAACUCUGUUGUUGGAGAAGAACGUAUUUGAUAGUAACUGAUCAGGUAGUGACGGUAUCCAACCAGAAAGCCACGGCUAACUACGUGCCAGCAGCCGCGGUAAUACGUAGGUGGCAAGCGUUGUCCGGAUUUAUUGGGCGUAAAGCGAGCGCAGGCGGUUUCUUAAGUCUGAUGUGAAAGCCUUCGGCUCAACCGAAGAAGUGCAUCGGAAACUGGGAAACUUGAGUGCAGAAGAGGACAGUGGAACUCCAUGUGUAGCGGUGAAAUGCGUAGAUAUAUGGAAGAACACCAGUGGCGAAGGCGGCUGUCUGGUCUGUAACUGACGCUGAGGCUCGAAAGCAUGGGUAGCAAACAGGAUUAGAUACCCUGGUAGUCCAUGCCGUAAACGAUGAGUGCUAGGUGUUGGAGGGUUUCCGCCCUUCAGUGCCGCAGCUAACGCAUUAAGCACUCCGCCUGGGGAGUACGACCGCAAGGUUGAAACUCAAAGGAAUUGACGGGGGCCCGCACAAGCGGUGGAGCAUGUGGUUUAAUUCGAAGCAACGCGAAGAACCUUACCAGGUCUUGACAUCCUUUGACCACUCUAGAGAUAGAGCUUUCCCUUCGGGGACAAA
rnacentral:rRNA from 1 species